GGGGAAAGUCUUUUGGUAAAGCUAUAGUAAGAAGAUGGGAUCCAGUAACAGACUGGUUCAAACAAGUGCCUGGUAGUGUGAGAACCUGCAGGGAAGAGAGAUUCCCCUGAAGAGGGCCCUGGAUUAGGUGAUUAAACACAGAAGUGAAACGGAGGCCGUUGAUAACCACAAAACUCAUUUUAUUGGAAGUGCUGUAUGCACCAACUCCAUGAAUGUUACUCCUAAUAUGUGACAAGAGAAAAGAAGAUGCAACAAAUCACAAGAUGAAAAAGUCCUCAGACAGUGAGAAGGUGAAGACAGCAGACAAGGAAAAUCUGCAUUUUAGCAAACCACGGCAUGAAAUAUCUUUCAUGAUGUGAUCCCAUGUCUCCAUCCUCACAGGUGGAAGGAACUUUAUCCACAGCCAUCUCUCUUUUCCACCUAAGAAGACAGAAGAAAGUCUAUGGACUUUGGGAGCAGAUCCUGACGUAUUACUGGGAACCUG